rnacentral:rRNA from 1 species
GACGAACCGUGCGAACGUUGUUCGGAAUCACUGGGCUUAAAGGGCGCGUAGGCGGGCGACCAAGUCAGGGGUGAAAUCCCGCAGCUCAACUGCGGAAGUGCCUUUGAUACUGGUUGUCUCGAGGGAGGUAGGGGCAUGCGGAACUUCCGGUGAAGCGGUGAAAUGCGUAGAUAUCGGAAGGAACGCCGAUGGCGAAAGCAGCGUGCUGGACCUCUUUUAACGCUGAGGCGCGAAAGCCAGGGGAGCAAACGGG